ACCACAUUAACCUUUUUAACUGUAUGCUAUUCGUAAAGCACAGUAAUGACAACGCUUGCCAUGCCUUUAAUACGGUUUUGUGAAGUAAUUGUAAUUCAAUAUUUUGUUUCUGUCUUGCAGUUACAUCGGAUCACACAGCGGCUCUUUUAAGAAGCCAUCUCUUGUAAAGUUUUUGCAUGAUGGCCUUUCUCAGACUCUGAAUCUGAUGUGUACAGAUGAACUCAGGAGCCUGUUAAAGUUGCCAGGGAAUGUGAGCUUGAAGUUUAUUAUUAUAACUGCUUAAUUUAUGUUUAAACAAAAAUAAUAAUUAAACAUGGGGUCAAUAGAUAUUUUCUUGUUUUACAGCUGAAGACCAAAAACGCAAAGAAAAUCAGUCACAGCUAGCAAGUCAAACCAGUCCUGAUGAAUGAGGAAUGAAUAUGGCCUUCUUGAGCCCAAACAGAAAAAGACAGAGAGCUGGAAAGUUGCACAUUUCCAUUGCUCCUAGAAUAAGCAAAUCAACUCUGCCAUUAUCUUUGGAAUUUGGGCAGGAAAUGAUCGAAUAUGGAGGAUGAAGCCAGUUGAUGAAGAGAUCAAUUCAACAGUCACCAAGUUCAGCACUGCAGCCUGAACCCAUCAGGUAUCUGCUGUGAGGACUGCAUUCAUGAACGGCUCUACUGUGACAGCUCAGAUGUUACGGCCCAUAAAAGUAAACUUCACAACUGAUCAACUGCGAGAUAGUUAUGGAGGGAUUAUUUUGGCCCAUACCUCCAACAACCUCCAACAGGAGUCAAUGGACAUCUACACCAGGUGGUGUGUGAGGAGGACCGUCACAGAGACUCCAGUCACCCAAGCCAUGGACUGCUCUUACUGUUACCAUCAGGCAGAUGUUAUUGCAGAACCUACACCAGCAGACUGCAAGACAACUUCUUUCCACAGGCAAUCAGACUGAACUGAACUCGUACCAGUAACACCACACACAGCACAUCAACCUCAUAUGAACUGCACUCUAUCAUUUACACUGACUGGACUCUGACUCACUAUUAUUCUGUAUCCUGACAUUCUGUUUGCACUAAUUCAUACUGUAGUGCACUGCAGUGGUAUAUGUGUACUGCGAUUAUUGUGUUUAUUACUGUUUUCAUUUCAUGCUCUCUGUAUAGUAUAAUAUUUACCGUAUGUUGUUCUUUAGCUGUAUUGAGUCCCUUAUAUAUGUGUGUUGCAUAUAUAUAUAUAUAUAUAUAUAUAUAUAUUUUUUUUUUUUUUUUUUUAAAUACUUAUCCAUACUGUCAUGCUGCAGUUUGCACAAAAGACUUUCACCAUCUGUACACUUA